rnacentral:lncRNA from 1 species
UUCAUUGUAAAGGAUCAUAUUGUUCCUCAGUUUGGCUCCCAAUAAGUGCUGGAGCAGUUCUACUGCAGUCACUGGAGAUUGCUCCAGAGGAGAGGCAGAAUAAGCUCAGGCACCACAGAGCAGCGGAAAAGAACAUCACAAACCUUCAUCCCACGUGGUAGGCUUGGCCAGUGCUGAGCGUCCAAAGGCAUGAAUGCAGAGGACAGAAAGAGGUCUGACUGUUGCCUCCUGCAGUGACACUGACAGACUGUGCAGUGGUCUGGAUACAGAGCAAGAAAUGUGCAAGAGAGCCUUAGUACCUGCUUCACUAUGCAGGCAGACGGGUGGCUUCCCUCUGCAAACAAUCAAUGAUUUCCUUUUCAUCCAGCCCCAUGUUUUCAAAGAGCUUAUCUUCUGCUUGAAGCGGGACUGUGAGGAACCGUCAGGUUUUGCUGAACAAAUUCACUCCCUGUGUGCAUCCAGUCACAUCUGCUAACCACGGUGAUGAAGCAUUGGCUAGUUCUCAGUUGAAAUGCUCUGGCCUUUGUCCAAAGUAUCUUGAUUUUCAGCCUAGAAAGAAUAAUGUUCAGUUCUGGUAUGUAGUUUUUAAAUAAAAAAAAG